AGCAGUCGCCACGGUAAUACGAAGGGUGCAAGCGUUAAUCGGAAUUACUGGGCGUAAAGCGUGCGUAGGCGGUUUGUUAAGUCUGUUGUGAAAUCCCCGGGCUCAACCUGGGAAUGGCAAUGGAUACUGGCAGCUAGAGUGUGUCAGAGGAUGGUGGAAUUCCCGGUGUAGCGGUGAAAUGCGUAGAUAUGGAGGAACACCAGUGGCGAAGGCGACUUUCUGGUCUGUAACUGACGCUGAUGUGCGAAAGCGUGGGGAUCAAACAGGAUUAGAUACCCCAGUAGUCCCUGUCUCUUAUACACA
rnacentral:rRNA from 1 species